UAUGCUUAGCCCUAAACCCUAGAUGCACCCUUACUUCCACAUCCGCCAGGGUACUACAAGCACAGCUUAAAACCCAAAGGACUUGGCGGUGCCUCAGACCCACCUAGAGGAGCCUGUUCUAGAACCGAUAACCCCCGUUAAACCUCACCACUUCUUGUUUUCCCCGCCUAUAUACCGCCGUCGUCAGCUUACCCUGUGAAGGCCCAACAGUAAGCAAAACGGGCUCGCCCAAAAACGUCAGGUCGAGGUGUAGCGCACGAAGUGGGAAGAAAUGGGCUACAUUGUCUGCAACAACAGAAUAUUUACGGACGGCACUAUGAAAUUAGUACCCAAAGGUGGAUUUAGUAGUAAAAAACAAAUAGAGAGUCUUUUUGAAUCAGGCUCUGAAGCGC
rnacentral:rRNA from 1 species